rnacentral:misc_RNA from 1 species
GAUGAAGAACGCAGCGAAAUGCGAUAAGUAAUGUGAAUUGCAGAAUUCAGUGAAUCAUCGAAUCUUUGAACGCACAUUGCGCCCGCCAGUAUUCUGGCGGGCAUGCCUGUUCGAGCGUCAUUACAACCCUCAGGCCCCCGGGCCUGGCGUUGGGGAUCGGCUCUGCCCUUCUGGGCGGUGCCGCCCCCGAAAUACAUUGGCGGUCUCGCUGCAGCCUCCAUUGCGUAGUAGCUAACACCUCGCAACUGGAACGCGGCGCGGCCAUGCCGUAAAACCCCAACUUCUGAAUGUUGACCUCGGAUCAGGUAGGAAUACCCGCUGAACUUAAGCAUAUCAAUAAGCGGAGGA